rnacentral:pre_miRNA from 1 species
UUAAUACUCCCUCCGUCCGGAAAUACUUGUCUUCAAAAUGGAUAAAAUGAAUGUAUCUAUAACUAAAAUAAGUCUAGAUACAACCAUUUCGAGGACAAGUAUUUUCGGACGGAGGGAGUAUAAU